AUUUGAUGCCAUAACCCUUUGAGAACGCCUGAACUAACUCGUCAGAUCUUAGAAAAUAAGCAGAGCUGGGUCUGGUUAGUACUGUGAUGGGAGACCGCUAGGAAUACCUACUGCUGCAAUGG
rnacentral:rRNA from 1 species